rnacentral:tRNA from 1 species
AAAAAUUUAGGUUAAUAUAGACCAAGGGCCUUCAAAGCCCUAAGCAAGAGACAGCCCCUCUUAAUUUUUG